GGUAUAGUUCUUCGGAACUAGAGACCGGCGCACGGGUGCGUAACGCGUAUGCAAUCUACCUUUUACAGAGGGAUAGCCCAGAGAAAUUUGGAUUAAUACCUCAUAGCAUAGCAGUCUCGCAUGAGAUCACUAUUAAAGUCACAACGGUAAAAGAUGAGCAUGCGUCCCAUUAGCUAGUUGGUAAGGUAACGGCUUACCAAGGCUACGAUGGGUAGGGGUCCUGAGAGGGAGAUCCCCCACACUGGUACUGAGACACGGACCAGACUCCUACGGGAGGCAGCAGUGAGGAAUAUUGGACAAUGGGCGCAAGCCUGAUCCAGCCAUGCCGCGUGCAGGAUGACGGUCCUAUGGAUUGUAAACUGCUUUUAUACGAGAAGAAACACUGCUUCGUGAAGCAGCUUGACGGUAUCGUAAGAAUAAGGAUCGGCUAACUCCGUGCCAGCAGCCGCGGUAAUACGGAGGAUCCAAGCGUUAUCCGGAAUCAUUGGGUUUAAAGGGGUCCGUAGGCGGUUUAAUAAGUCAGUGGUGAAAGCCCAUCGCUCAACGGUGGAACGGCCAUUGAUACUGUUAAACUUGAAUUAUUAGGAAGUAACUAGAAUAUGUAGUGUAGCGGUGAAAUGCUUAGAGAUUACAUGGAAUACCAAUUGCGAAGGCAGGUUACUACUAAUGGAUUGACGCUGAUGGACGAAAGCGUGGGUAGCGAACAGGAUUAGAUACCCUGGUAGUCCACGCCGUAAACGAUGGAUACUAGCUGUUGGAAGCAAUUUCAGUGGCUAAGCGAAAGUGAUAAGUAUCCCACCUGGGGAGUACGUUCGCAAGAAUGAAACUCAAAGGAAUUGACGGGGGCCCGCACAAGCGGUGGAGCAUGUGGUUUAAUUCGAUGAUACGCGAGGAACCUUACCAAGGCUUAAAUGUAGAUUGACCGGUUUGGAAACAGAUCUUUCGCAAGACAAUUUACAAGGUGCUGCAUGGUUGUCGUCAGCUCGUGCCGUGAGGUGUCAGGUUAAGUCCUAUAACGAGCGCAACCCCUGUUGUUAGUUGCCAGCGAGUCAUGUCGGGAACUCUAACAAGACUGCCAGUGCAAACUGUGAGGAAGGUGGGGAUGACGUCAAAUCAUCACGGCCCUUACGCCUUGGGC
rnacentral:rRNA from 1 species